rnacentral:rRNA from 1 species
GAUGAACGCUGGCGGCGUGCCUAAUACAUGCAAGUCGAGCGAACGGACGAGAAGCUUGCUUCUCUGAUGUUAGCGGCGGACGGGUGAGUAACACGUGGAUAACCUACCUAUAAGACUGGGAUAACUUCGGGAAACCGGAGCUAAUACCGGAUAAUAUUUUGAACCGCAUGGUUCAAAAGUGAAAGACGAUCUUGCUGUCACUUAUAGAUGGAUCCGCGCUGCAUUAGCUAGUUGGUAAGGUAACGGCUUACCAAGGCAACGAUGCAGAGCCGACCUGAGAGGGUGAUCGGCCACACUGGAACUGAGACACGGUCCAGACUCCUACGGGAGGCAGCAGUAGGGAAUCUUCCGCAAUGGGCGAAAGCCUGACGGAGCAACGCCGCGUGAGUGAUGAAGGUCUUCGGAUCGUAAAACUCUGUUAUUAGGGAAGAACAUAUGUGUAAGUAACUGUGCACAUCUUGACGGUACCUAAUCAGAAAGCCACGGCUAACUACGUG